CCCCUGUCCCGUCCCGGGCUCGUGUCGUACCGGGCCGGCCUCUCGCGGGCCUCUGCUGCGACCGGGGCCGAGGGCGGCGCCCUCUCCCGCCGUGGCGAAGGCAGGAGCGGGAGCCGCGCGCUCGACACGACCCAAGCGCGGGCAAACCGGGCUCGGAAGCGCCCCGAAUUCAGACGCGCUUCGGUCGCAAGCGCUCCCUGCCGCCAAGGGGCUCCCCUGGAGCUUAAAGGGCACUGGGGAGCCCCGGCUUACCUUGCAAUCUCCCCCUUACUCCAAGAAGCUGAAGCCAUCCGUUUUCCCCUGCUUUCAUUUUAGCCUCACAACGGCCCUGAGAGGUGCCAAGGUUCCCAGGCAGCUAUCUAACAGAAGAGGAUUGUUUUGGCUACCGAUGUUCCACCGAGAAUCAGCCUUGGGAAACUACUGCUCUCCCUACUUCAAAGGCGUUGUUUUGGGAACCGUGGGGGGGAGGAGGGGCCCGCUGGGAUCUGUUACUCUGUACCUUAUGCCUUGCCUAUCAUUGGUAACAAUGCAUAUGCACCAUCCUGAAUAUUGCAUUCAGGCUAGUGGACUAUAAUGAACUAUUUCUUCAAUAAAUUCCUUUUGGAAACAA